UUGGAGGGCAAGUCUGGUGCCAGCAGCCGCGGUAAUUCCAGCUCCAAUAGCGUAUAUUAAAGUUGUUGCAGUUAAAAAGCUCGUAGUUGAACCUCGGGGUCUACCCAUUGGUCAGGCUUAAUUGUCUGCACUGGUGAGAUGGAUCUCUACCUUCUGAGGAACUUUCAUGCCAUUUAUUUGGUGUGAUGGGAAAUCAGGACUGUUACUUUGAAAAAAUUAGAGUGUUUAAAGCAGACUAUCGUCUGAAUACAUUAGCAUGGAAUAAUGAAAUAGGACGGACUGAUUCUAUUUCGUUGGUUUCUAGGAUCACCGUAAUGAUUAAUAGGGAUAGUUGGGGGCAUUAGUAUUCAAUUGUCAGAGGUGAAAUUCUUGGAUUUAUUGAAGACUAACUACUGCGAAAGCAUUUGCCAAGGAUGUUUCAUUAAUCAAGAACGAAAGUUAGGGGAUCGAAGACGAUCAGAUACCGUCGUAGUCUUAACCAUAAACUAUGCCGACUAGGGAUCGGACGAAGUUAAUUUUAUAAUGACGCGUUCGGCGCCUUACGGGAAAC
rnacentral:rRNA from 1 species